CUCGUGCAUUGAUCGGCCAGUGACGCGCAUAGGAGGAUCUACUCGCCAGGUAUAUAAAGGUAUCCACCAAAAAGCCAGAGCAUCAUUCACCUCCAGUUCAACACACGAGCUGAUCUCCAAAGAUCUACGAAACCUAUCAACCAUGAAGUGCAUCGUUCUUGUUGCUCUCUUCGCCCUGUUCGCUGUAGCCUUCGCACAGGCACCCAAGCCUGUCCAACCCGAACAGGAACAACCCGUCGAGGGGGAGGCAUUGAGAGACAAGAGAGGCCUGUUACUAGCUUCGUACACUGCACCAGCAGCAUUAGCACCAGCGCCAAUUGCGUACUCUUCUUACGUCGCCCCGGCAGCCCCAAUUAGCUACGCUCUGCCAUACGCUUACCGCGCAUACCCCAGCUACACGUAUCUGGGUUAAUUUUAGGGGUAUUAGGGAUAACACCGAAGGGACCUUUGUGAUCACGACUAGGGAAAUGAUUACACGGCAAUUGGAAGGAUUUUCGAGCGAGUCGUUUAAUCGACGCUUCACUUUAGUUUAAGUAAAUUUAGCAACGAUAGCAAAACCCGACGAAAUUUUCUCUUUUUAAAAAGGUUAAUCGCUGUAAAUUGUGUAUUGUUCGCGCCUAUUGUAUCGAAGAUCACCGAAGAUCUGUUUCAAUUCUUUGACAAAUCUUAAUACACCGUUCCGUUGUAUAUCUCACCAUGUUAAUUAAAUACAGAAAUUUUUGAUUAAGCUCAUA